rnacentral:tRNA from 1 species
CUCCCCUUAGUAUAAUGGAUAAUACACCGUCCUUCUAAGUCGGCAAUCCGUGUUCAAUCCACGGAGGGGAGUCCA